GACUGAGGCUCCCCCUACGGCCGAGCCCACAGCCCCAGGGCGACGCCCUCGCCUCCCGCUGACGGACUGGGCUGCGCCCGUGGACCCCGGUCCAAGCCUGGGCCUCUGUCUGCCCAUCCGUGUGGCCUUCUGGGAAUCUCGUCCCCAGGCCUUGCACACUGGCUUCACGGCAGCCCCUGCACACUUCUGAGGUCAGCAGACGCCCUAUUCACGCUAUCACUGUGGACUUGGGAGGCGCUGGCCAGGGGACCCUGCUCUGGCGCUGGUCAUGGGGCAGAAGUCCAGGGUCCCAGCACCCUUCCUGCAGCCUGCUGGUGCUGAGCUCUAGAAGCAUGUACCUGGACGAGCUGCAAAGCACAUGAUCGCGGGCAGUUGUCCGGCUUCUCUUUUCCUGUGCUGUAAAAUGGGAUUGUCUGUGAAGUAAAGGCGCUGAAAGAUGGGCAGGACUGCUCCAGUCUCAGCUCUGCACCCCGUGCUCUGCAGCCCCAAGGCUGUGGGAUGUGCACCAGGCCGACCUGCUGUCACUGUGGGGAGAGUGUUGCAGAGCAGGAGCACACUGUGAAAGGUCCAGAAUGGUGACCAGAGUGGAGGUUCUACCAUCCCAAACCCACACCUAAACACCAGGGCCCAUUUUUGCAGUCAGUGCUUCGCUAUCACCCACACCUGUGGCUUGCUCUGGGGUGGAGCCCAACAUUCUCACCUGCUGAGUGCCUCCUUAGCAGGACACUGCUGAUAAGCUGAACUGGUCCUGCCUUCAGAACGUCCCAGGAGACAGUGCGCUACAGGUGAAGGGUGCAGAGUGGGCAGGAGUCA